rnacentral:lncRNA from 1 species
ACUUGCCUUUUGGUAUGGCACUCACCCUAGUCUUUAGGAGGUUCGGAGUCAAUUUUAAGGAGGAGGCAGUUUCCAGAUUAUCUCAUUCUAACACCAUCAACCACCACACACUGCAUUGCAUGAAUUUUUCAAAGACUGAUGGGGUUGGUCAAAGGGUGUUGAGGAGAGAGUAGAGGAAGAGAGAGUGUCUUCAUCUCCUUGUGAUCACAGAGCAUCUCCUGAUAUUCAGUUUGUGUCUGAUCACGAGGCUGGUCCCUCAGUAUCAGUGAGAAGGCAUGCUUCAGUUUCAUAGUCAGGGAGCAG